rnacentral:rRNA from 1 species
GAAUUCGCCCUUAGAGUUUGAUCCUGGCUCAGGAUGACCUCUGACAGAAUGCUUAACACAUGCAAGUCGAUUCGAUUUACCUUCGGGUAUUGAGGAUGGCGGACGGGUGUUUAACGCGUAAGGAACUUGCCUCUUGGUCUGGGACAACUGUUGGAAACGACAGCUAAUACCGGAUAUUAUGAGAUUCUCGCAUGGGAAACUUAUGAAAGCUAUAUGCGCCAAGAGAGAGCCUUGCGUUCCAUUAGCUAGUUGGUGGGGUAACGGCCCACCAAGGCGACGAUGGAUAGCCGGCCUGAGAGGGUGAACGGCCACAAGGGGACUGAGACACGGCCCUUACUCCUACGGGAGGCAGCAGUGGGGAAUAUUGGACAAUGGACCAAAAGUCUGAUCCAGCAAUUCUGUGUGCACGAUGAAGGUCUUCGGAUUGUAAAGUGCUUUCAGUUGGGAAGAAGCAAGUGACGGUACCAACAGAAGAAGCGACGGCUAAAUACGUGCCAGCAGCCGCGGUAAUACGUAUGUCGCAAGCGUUAUCCGGAUUUAUUGGGCGUAAAGCGCGUCUAGGCGGAAAAAUAAGUCUGAUGUUAAAAUGCGGGGCUCAACUCCGUAUUGCGUUGGAAACUGUUUUUCUAGAGUACUGGAGAGGUGGGCGGAACUACAAGUGUAGAGGUGAAAUUCGUAGAUAUUUGUAGGAAUGCCGAUGGAGAAGUCAGCUCACUGGACAGAUACUGACGCUAAAGCGCGAAAGCGUGGGGAGCAAACAGGAUUAGAUACCCUGGUAGUCCACGCCGUAA